rnacentral:lncRNA from 1 species
GAAGAUGCCUCCUGGAGAGGGGCACUUGAGACCUUACCAGCAAGAAGAGGGCCACCCUCAAGAUGUGUAGACAAAUGCUCCAACAGAGGAAACAGUCAGGACAUGAGACCUGGGGUGGAAGCUACCAGAGAGGAAAAGGCACCAGGGACCUAGGAACAAGCUGUGCAUGCAGAGUGUUACUCCCUGUGAUUGAUUUGUUUCUUUCAAGCUAGCUGCUCUGCUACAGGGUGACGUUGGAUCACUCUUAGAUUCCCCUUACAGUCUGAUAAUCAGAGGCACCUAUGUAUAGCUAAGCUAGUGGUGUCCCAAAGGAAAUAUCAGGGAGUCAUGAGUCCAGCCACCCAGUUGCCCUGGUGCUGAAAUCUCUGAGUGGAACUUGAGGCGAGAGG